AGGGCGGUGGUUACGGCGGGCGGCAGCGCGCCGCGCGGGCAGAGCAGUUCCCUCCUCCCGCCCGCGCCCGCCCCCGCCCCUGCGGCGCCUGUGGCGCAGCGCCGCGUCGCCCAGGGCGUCCCGGGCCUGCCGGCCGCUCCGCCCGCGGCCACCAGCUCCGAACGGCGAGAGGCCUCGCCUCCGCCCGAGCCCGGCCCCCGCCGGGUGGUGCGGUGCGGCAAACGCGGCACCGCGGCGGGGCCCGGGCCGCAGGGCAGUGUGAAGAUCACCGUUUCUCGCAGUUUUUUCCACAGCGGUCGCUUUCUGAAGCGUUUCCUGCUGUAGCUUUGUGCCGCUCGCGGCAGAGCGCGCAGGAACACGUACCGUGCAGCGGGUACGUGUGCACCAUGUAACGGCGUGCCCCGCACGGCAGGACACGAACGGGAGCAGCACCGGAUCUGGGCUACCUUACUAAAUGCCAGUUCCAGCCACCUACCCUGUGAUGAACCAAUGACACAGGUUUGCUUCACAAAGAAAAAGGAUUAGCCAACCAUGUCUGAGGCCAGUCAUGAAGAACACGUGAAAGAAUGUAAAGAUCUGCUUCUGGAAGAUUAUCCUCGAAGAAGUCCCCUGUUGAGAAGCAAAGCUCGAUGGUUCUGCCUGCUGCCUUCUUUGACAGCAGACUCCAAGUUUGUGAAGAGAGGCCAAAGGUGGUCAUUAGAGUGGAUAAUGUAGCCAUGAAGUGAGUAUUCACCAUCUAAGGUCAGGAAUGAAGAUUGACUGGCUUCUGCUCCAGAGAGUAAUGAAAAAUAUUCUCUGAACCUUUGGUCCUUGAGAAACCCUCGCUGUCACACACCCUGUUUAGCAGAAUGAAAAGAAUUACCCAGCGCUGCUCAUGAACCAUUUUGCUGCAACACAGCAUUCCUAAAGUGUAUUAUCUUCCAGAGGAAAUAAUCAGAAUAUUCCAAAAUAUUUUUCAGCCUGACAUUCUUCCUAAAAAUCCACGGUCCUCCUUCAAACUGCAACUUUCUGAUCAGCUGCAUACAAAAGAUCACCUUCCAAAAACCUAACUAGGAAUUUGUGUUACAAACUGUAUUCUUGGCAAAAGAUUCUUCUCUGCAUAAUCCAGUUUAGCUUCAGUAUCUUUCAUAUGCUGGGAACCUUACGUGUUCAGAAAGUAUGCCUCAUCAUUUACAUGUAAACACUUAAAUAAAUCCAAAGUCUACACUGCUUCCCCUUUCCCCAGUAAAACAUGACUGUAUCAUUUUAUAGCACAAGUGCGUAUAAAAAAAACUCACCACGUUUGCUAUUCUUACACAGUCAGAAUUGAGUUAGAGCCAAAAGUUCACCUCAGAUCACCAGAUAUGCAGUCCAUAGUGCUAACUAUGGCCUGAUUUGCCUUCACUAAGCUUCAGCUAACACAAAAGAAAGGCAAAUUCCAUAAAGCCAAACAUUCCCUUGUCGUAAAACUCCAAAUAAAAGUACUUUUUUGCUUUAAACAAUCUAGUCAACUUCAUCUUAGGGGUAGUUAGGUAUUCCGUUCUCAGCCUAUUCCUUCUGUGGAAUCAACGUUGUCUGUAUUGCAAAGGUAGAGGAAACAUAUAAGCUAAGAGACAAUUAUGGCAUAAGAACAUGUAUAAACUGUCUACAAGUGAAAAUUAAGAUGGCAUUUCUUGCGUCAGAGCAGUGCUAUUUUGAUAAGCUAAAUAAACCAAGUUCUAGCUUCUUUCAAUAAAGUCCUUCAAUACCCUGAUUAUCCAAUGCUGACUCUAUUUACCUGUUAUUAUAAUGAGAACUAUCCAUUGUCUCAGGUAUCCAAGCUCCCUGAAUGCCUCUGUUAACAGAGAGGUAAUUGUAUAUUGCAUGAGUGCAACCUAGAGUAUCUCAACAGUCCUCACUUUUCAAAUUUGUUAGGGUACUAAAAAAGUAGCGCACUUUCCCUGGAGGAAUGACAGUUCUAGACAAGAAUAAUAGAAUACCGACCUUGCAUCACCCAUACUAUCACUUAUCAUAUAUACAGAGCAAAAUUUCACAGGAUAAAGAGUUUUAUGCUGGUGGCUAAUAACAUACCCAUAAGCCUAUUCUCAAGUACUGUGGGAUUAGCUUCAGGGUCUUACUUACAUUGGCUC